CAGGUAUAACAACCUAACAUUUUGUUUCUCUUGUCGGGAUGAUCAUUCAACAUUGAAAUGAGAAAUCAGAGUACAAGCUACGCAAACAACUAUCUCCUCUGCACAUAUCGCUCAUUACUGUGAUUUCAAUCAUAGUUUUUGUGUUGCUUUUAUUGCUUUUUGCCUGGAUGAUGGGAUGGCUGGGGAAUACAGAUCAAUUACAAGAAAUAGAUGUAAGUCUAGAAAAGCCUGCCACACUCAAACAAUACAAAUAUGCUACUCGGAAUUUUAGCAAGAGGAACUAGAUUGGUCAAGGGCGUUUUGGGACCGUGUACAAGGCUGAACUGCCAGGGAAAAUUGUAGCUGUGAAGAAACUCUCCUCUCAUUCAGAGGAAAGGAUCAUUCAGUUGAAAAAUGAGUUUUAUGACUUAAAAUCAAUGAGUCAAGAGAACCUUGUUCAGUUACUGGACGUUUACAACGUAAAAGGCCUGUAUUU